rnacentral:rRNA from 1 species
UACGAAGGGGGCGAGCGUUGUUCGGAUUUACUGGGCGUAAAGGGCGCGCAGGCGGUUCUGUUUGUCGAGCGUGAAAGCCCCGGGCUCAACCUGGGAACUGCGCUCGAAACGGCGGAACUAGAGUUCGGGAGAGGAGAGUGGAAUUCCCAGUGUAGAGGUGAAAUUCGUAGAUAUUGGGAAGAACACCGGUGGCGAAGGCGGCGACCUGGUCCUUGACUGACGCUGAGGCGCGAAAGCGUGGGAGCAAACAGG